rnacentral:rRNA from 1 species
AGUGGCGGACGGGUGAGUAACGCGUGGGCAACCUGCCUUAUACAGGGGGAUAACAGCUGGAAACAGCUGCUAAUACCGCAUAAGCGCACAGCGGCGCAUGACGCAGUGUGAAAAACUGAGGUGGUAUAAGAUGGGCCCGCGUCUGAUUAGCUGGUUGGGAGGGUAACGGCCUACCAAGGCGACGAUCAGUAGCCGGCCUGAGAGGGCGGACGGCCACAUUGGGACUGAGACACGGCCCAGACUCCUACGGGAGGCAGCAGUGGGGAAUAUUGCACAAUGGGGGGAACCCUGAUGCAGCGACGCCGCGUGAGUGAAGAAGUAUUUCGGUAUGUAAAGCUCUGUCAGCAGGGAAGAAAGAGACGGUACCUGACCAAGAAGCCCCGGCUAACUACGUGCCAGCAGCCGCGGUAAUACGUAGGGGGCAAGCGUUAUCCGGAUUUACUGGGUGUAAAGGGAGCGUAGACGGCAAUGCAAGUCUGGAGUGAAAGCCCGCGGCCCAACUGCGGGACUGCUCUGGAAACUGUAAUGCUUGAGUGCAGGAGGGGUAAGCGGAAUUCCUGGUGUAGCGGUGAAAUGCGUAGAUAUCAGGAGGAACACCGUUGGCGAAGGCGGCUUACUGGACUGUAACUGACGUUGAGGCUCGAAAGCGUGGGGAGCAACAGGAUUAGAUACCUGNUA